GAAGCUUUAUUGUCAUUGUAUAUAAAAUAUACAACAAAACUAGACAUGUUGCUCCUGUUCAAUGCAAUAAAGAAUCAGAAAAACACAGUCAAACAAAUAAAUACUUCUCUGUGUUUGCAUAUGUAAGAAACAGCCAACCGAAGGAGGCAAGUAGCAAAAAUCAAUACUUUGGAAGAAUAAGAUGAAUUGAAAAGGAUUAGUAUUAUUAAACUGGUUUCUGUAAUCACUAAAGACAAAUAUUGCACACAGAUUAUUUUUUGUUGUUGUUCAAUGAUCUUUUGGCCCAAGGGAAGACACUGUCCUUGAGUCUGGUGGUGCGUGUUUUGAUGGACCUGUAGCACCUACCAGAGGGCAGCAGGUCAAACAAGUGGUGUCUCUGAGGAUAUUUUGGGCUCUGGAGAGGCAGAGGGAUCUGGAAAUGGCUUCCAGGUGUCACGCACGUACAAGGUAUGGACCGGGGAAGCAGAGGCAGGAAUUGGGGAACACAGGGUUUAAUCGAAAGGUAGAGACAAGCAGGGCAACAGAACAGGCAACAAACUCAAAAUGACGUUGAUGACCGGACUGGGGAAACCUACUCAAACGCAGACGUAAAUACAUCAGACUAAUUCACAAUGAGAAACAGCUGGUAACAUGGGAAUUCCACACAAGGUAGCGAGAGGGGCGUGGCACACAGGAGGAUCGGACAAGCAGGACAUGAGACCAGGGAUGACAGAGAGCAGCUGAUGGUUUUUUGGGCAGAGUUCCUAACCCUCUAGAGGACUGUCCUCUCUGCAGAUGAGCCCCCGGCAUACCACAGUGUAAUGUAGAACACCAGGAUGCAUCUGAUGGCAGAGCAAUCAAAGGCCACAAGCAGCUUCUGAUCCAGCUUGUUUUUCCUGAGUACUCUGAGAAAAUGGAGUCGCUGUUGUGCCUUCUUAGCAAGUGUCAAGGUGCUGGCAGACUAGGAGAACUUCUCAGAGAUGUCUAUCCUCAGGAAUUUGAUGCAAUGGUCCCUUUCCACAGAGACUUCAUUGAUGUAAAGUGGGGAAUGAUCACCUCUGUGCUUUCUGAGGUCAAUGACGACUUCCUUUGUUUUUGUGGUAUUUAGCACCAGGUUGUUUGUUGAACUCCACCCUGUCAGUUUCUGAACCUCAUCUCUGUAGGCUGACUCAUCACAUCCUGAGAUGAUCACGAUAACCAUGUUGUUGUCCAUGAAUUUGAUUAUGUUAUUUGUGGGAUGGGUGGGAGUGCAGUCACAGGUAUACAGGGCAUAGAGUAGUGUGCUUGGCACACAGCCUUGUGGAGAGCCAGUGCUAAGUGUGAAGGAGGAGGAGAAAUAGGAGCCACAUUUAAGGGACUGGGGCCAGUGUGUGAGAAAGCUUUUUACCCAGGCACAGGUUGUGGGGGGGUUAGAUCUAGCAGUUUUCUUGCAUACAGUAGCUUCCGGGGUGAUCAAGGUGGGUCAGCACGGUAUGGAGCGCUAUGUUGAUGGCAUCAUCAGUGGGCUGGUUUGAUCUGUAGACAAACUGGUGGGGAUUGAAGGAAGGAGGGAGGCUGGUCUUGAUGUGAUGUGCAACCAGCCCCUCAACGUACUUCAUCACCACUGAAGUGAGAGCGAUUAGCCUGUAAUCAUUGAGGCAGGAUACGUCAGGCUUUUUUGGACAGGGAUGAUAGUGGAUGACCUCAAACAGGGAGGGAUGGUUGGUUGUGAUAAGGAGAGAUCUUGGUGAGGAUGCCAGAGAGCUGGGAAAGACAUGCUUUGAGUAUUUUGUCUGAUCCUCUGUCAGGACCAGUAGCUUUCCUCCGGUUGACUUGACUGAGUGCUCAUCUCACUUAAUGUUCCUGCAGAGUGAGUGUAUGAGUGCUGGAGGCUGGGGGGGCAGUGUGACUGUGUCUGACCUGUGUGGCUCAAAGUGAGCAAAGUAGCUGUUUAGCUCCUCUGCUCAUGGGGCGUCUGCAUGAACAGUAGCGGUGUUGUUGCCCGUGAAGUUUGUGAUCUGCAUAUUUCAGUCCACUUUACACAGGACAACAGAUUAGAGGUGUUUUUUUCAUACACUGUACUCUUACUCUUGGUUUGGUAGCUGAUUGAGUUAUAAUAAUCGUAUAAUAGAAAUUAUCAAGUAGUUUGUGUUUAUUGGUUGACGUACAGUAUGAGUUACUGUAAUAAAUUGAAAUGUAACCCAUUUUAGGAAAAUAAACCAAAAAAAAAAUAAUAAUAAUAUUGUCUCAAUUAAUAAAAAAAAAGAUAAAAUAACAAUAAAGUAGUAAAUUACGGUGAAGUACUGUACAUCAUCAGAAUUUAUUUAAAAAGCUCAGGCAUGCGCAGAGAACUGCUCAACUAUACUUGGCGCGUUUUACGGCAGUUAUUUUGUGGACAUGCCAUAACAAGUUUAGGUGCAGCCGGACGUCAUCUCAGCAGUUGUGCUCGCUGUUGUCAUCAUACCAGUGACUGUGGUACUUGGCACACUAAUUCGUACAGUUUGUACUAAAGGCCAUGAUGAAAAAAGCCUUGAAGAUGACAGAAAUAUGCUCGUAGAGGAGAUGAAGAAACAACAUCAAAUGGGUCUCAUCUCAAAAUUAAUGGAUCGAACAUUUCCAUUGCGCAAGAGAUAGUGAGAAACAAGGCUGCUGUCCAUGACAUGGCUGAACGUUGGCCAGCACUUUUCAUGGAGAGACAGGUAUUGCUGAGUUUAACAGAAUUGCCAGUAAGAAUCUUGAAGGAGAUUUCUUUGAGGCUCUGGACCAAUAAACACCAAGCUUCAUCCAACUGUUCAGUUGCAAAAAAGGAACUGUUGGAAAGAAACUGACAGAACUAAAGCAGCAAAUUGACUUGAUGACACCAGAUGUGACUGCACAGUGUACAUUUGUCCUCAAAGGCCUCCCCAUUGUACUAGGCGAUGACUCUAGCGACUUCUACGUGUCAUGCUUCGUAAGUUCUCUACUUGUCUACUAAACUUUGCAUUUGUCCAAAACUAACAGUAGUAAAAUAUUAAUUUUCCUAAAUGCAUUAAAUGCAUUACUUUUAACUUGCAACAAUUACAUAUGCCCUGUAUGAUGUACAACUACCAACAUUAUACCUGGACAAAGAGGGUAAAAUAAAUAAUUAAGGUACUUGGCAUGCAACUAAAACAACUUAAACUUUUAUUACACCGGUAUUACACUGUGUCAGCCCAGCUUUCAUUGUUAAAGCACUGAGAUAACUACUUUUGUUGUACCAUAGGUUCAGUAGUCACUUCCAGUGAGAGCAGAAAUGGUAAAACAACGGUCUGGUUGAAACUAGUGUCUUUAGUUCUGGGUGUCCAAGUGUAUACUAGAUGGUUCUGGAGUAAAUUGCCUCAGAUUACACACUCAGAAAGCAAUAUUUGAGAAAACUAUGAGGGGUCAGUAUUGCCUCCAUACCAUUAUGUUGAGAUGGUUGAUCACCAGAGUAUCUUGGAACUAAUAGAAUUAUUAACUGAUCAAUAUUUGAAGGUCUAACAGGAAACACAACACACUAUUAUAAUGUUCUAAAAUGUUUAAAAAUGCUUAUCCAUAGGACACCACAAAAGAAGAAGCCUUGGCCUCUCUGACAGUUGGUGUCUUGACUGUUAUGAGUGAAGAUGGCCCAAGUUCUCUGCUCAUAUCCACAGCCAUUGUUCUUGAGGGAGGUAUUGCCAUGGAUAAUAUCAAGAACUUUCCUCAGGCAGUUUUCCUGUUGUUUGGGCUGACGUAUGCGUUACACUUGAACUAUCCAAAAUGCAUGGCAAACACUCUGAAAUUCAUCCAAAUGGUCAUGCUGGGUCUGCAAGGCAAAAGCCUCCCACCAAAACUGUUAACACUUAAGAACAGUCUGUUGGUAAACUAGCCGAAGACUUUGUUCUGCAAGUUGCACUUUUCUCUAAUAAAUGUUCUGUGAGAAACCAGAAGAGACUGACUGCCUGUUUCUAUAUACCAUUCAAAAGGUUUUAUUUUUGUGAAAAAAUGUACUUGCAUUUUAUAAGUAAAUAGUUUAUUUUUUCUGAAAUGAUGACUGUUUUGAGAAGAUGGCAUGAAACUUAACCAUAAGAAGGAUACAUCUCGUUAAAGCAUUUCAGGUCUACAUUGUGGUAUUAUGAUUUCCUUCGAAUUUUGUUUAUUUUACUUGCAGUACUUGCAGUACCUGAUUACUCAUACCUUAAGUCUGCAAUAUAUGUUUUAAGCACUUCAGCACUGGUUUUAAAUAAAUAUCUGGAGGUGCCUCAUGUUCAUAUUUGAUGUCAGAAUGGGAAAACCUGUGCAGCUAGUUAUUUAAACGUUUUGAAACUCGAUUUUGCAUUUCUAAAAUAAAUAUCAGCUGAAAUAACUCAA